rnacentral:misc_RNA from 1 species
GGAAGGAUCAUUAUUGAUUUUUAAAGAUGUGCUGGCCUUUACGGGUAUGUGCACUCUUAAAAAACCCAAUAUCCACCUGUGCACUUUCUGUAGGCAUGUUUGCCUAUGCAUUUUUAUACACACACCAUGUUAUAUUUUGAAUGCCUUUGAUUAACCAAUCGUAAAACAACUUUCAACAAUGGAUCUCUUGGUUCUCGCAUCGAUGAAGAACGCAGCGAAUUGCGAUAUGUAAUGUGAAUUGCAGAAUUCAGUGAAUCAUCGAAUCUUUGAACGCACAUUGCACCCUCUGGUAUUCCGGAGGGUAUGCCUGUUUGAGUGUCAUUAAUAUCUCAACACAGACAAGUUUUAUGACUUGCACUGAUGCUUGGAUGCUGAAGGUUGCUGGCAAUAUUUGUCAGCUCCUUUUAAAUGUAUUAGCAGAAACCUAUGCAAAAAGCUGGCUUCAGUUUGAUAAGCACUUAUCUGUAUUGCUGUUGCUAGUGAAAUGCUCUUGUUUCAGCUUCCAAUUGUCCAAUUCUUUGGACUGCCUCACGAGGUAAUUUAAUCUUGACACUUGACCUCAAAUCAGGUAGGACUACCGCUGAACUUAAGCAUAUCAAUAAGCGGAGGAAAAGAAACUAACAAGGAUUCCCCCAGUAACUGCGAGUGAAGAGGGAAGAGCUCAAAUUUAAAAUCUGGCAGUCUCUGGCUGUCCGAGUUGUAAAUUAGAGAAGUGUUAUCCGCGCUGGACUGUGCAUAAGUUCCUUGGAAAAGGGCAUCAUAGAGGGUGACAAUCCCGUCUUUGGCACAGACUACCAGGGCUUUUGUGAUGCGCUCUCGAUGAGUCGAGUUGUUUGGGAAUGCAGCUCUAAAUGGGUGGUAAAUUCCAUCUAAAGCUAAAUAUUGGCGAGAAACCGAUAGCGCACAAGUACCGUGAGGGAAAGAUGAAAAGAACUUUGAAAAGAGAGUUAAACAGUACGUGAAAUUGUUGAAAGGGAAACGCUUGAAGUCAGUCACAUCCUUCAGAAAUCAACCUGAUCAUUGGUCUGGUGUACUUUCUGUUUGGAUGGGUCAGCAUCAAUUUUGAUCAUUGGAUAAAGGAUUAGGGAAUGUGGCAUCCUCGGAUGUGUUAUAACCCUUGUUCAUAUACAGUGGUUGGGAUUGAGGAACUCAGUGCUUGCACUCAGGAUGCUGACAUAAUGGCUUUAAUCGACCCGUCUUGAAACACGGACCAAGGAGUCUAACAUACAUGCGAGUGUUUGAGUGAAAAACUCGAGCGCAUAAUGAAAGUGAAAGUUGAGAACCCUGUCAGGGGUGCAUCGACGCCCGGACCUGACCUUUUGUGAUGGACCUGCGGUAGAGCAUGCAUGUUGGGACCCGAAAGAUGGUGAACUAUGCCUGAAUAGGGUGAAGCCAGAGGAAACUCUGGUGGAAGCUCGUAGCGAUUCUGACGUGCAAAUCGAUCGUCGAAUUUGGGUAUAGGGGCGAAAGACUAAUCGAACCAUCUAGUAGCUGGUUCCUGC